AAAAGUUCCAGAGCAUAUUUAAUCGAAAAGAACAUCUCCAAAUGUCAAAUUAAACACAAUUUCAUUGACUUAACCCUUCUGCAAGUUUCUUAGGGAAUUGAAAAAUGCAUUGCAGGUCUCAGAACCAUGGUUUCUCCUUUAUAUAUUUCUUUUCCUAGGGGCCUAUUGGCAGGAUUUUUUCGACUUUGUCUCAGCUAAUGGAACAUUCCCAAUGUGG
rnacentral:misc_RNA from 1 species